rnacentral:rRNA from 1 species
GGGGAAUAUUGCACAAUGGGCGCAAGCCUGAUGCAGCAACGCCGCGUGCGGGAUGACGGCCUUCGGGUUGUAAACCGCUUUUAGUAAGGAAGAAGGGGAGCUUGCUCCUUGACGGUACUUGCAGAAAAAGGACCGGCUAACUACGUGCCAGCAGCCGCGGUAAUACGUAGGGUCCGAGCGUUGUCCGGAAUUAUUGGGCGUAAAGAGCUCGUAGGCGGUUUGUCGCGUCUGCUGUGAAAUCCCGAGGCUCAACCUCGGGUCUGCAGUGGGUACGGGCAGACUGGAGUGCGGUAGGGGAGAAUGGAAUUCCUGGUGUAGCGGUGGAAUGCGCAGAUAUCAGGAGGAACACCGAUGGCGAAGGCAGUUCUCUGGGCCGUAACUGACGCUGAGGAGCGAAAGCGUGGGGAGCGAAC